rnacentral:rRNA from 1 species
UGCCAGCAGCCGCGGUAAUACGGAGGGUGCAAGCGUUAUUCGGAUUUACUGGGCGUAAAGCGCGCGUAAGCGGUUUGGUAAGUCUGGUGUGAAAGCCCACGACUCAAUCGUGGAAGUGCACUGGAUACUGCUAGACUAGAGUGUCGGAGGGGAAGACGGAAUUCCUGGUGUAGAGGUGAAAUACGUAGAUAUCUGGAAGAACACCAGUGGCGAAGGCGGUCUCUUGGUCCAUUACUGACGCUGAGGCGCGAAAGCGUGGGGAGCAAACAGGAUUAGAUA